AGUUCUAAACAAACUAACCAAAAAAUAUUUAGCAGUAAGUGCAACACCCGUUUCAUCUAAACGAAAUCGAUUAAAUAUAUGGAGAACAUUUACAAUCAUUGCUACUUUUAAGUUCGCUAUCCAAUGAAGAAUGGCAUAUUAAGUUCAGCAGUUUAGGCCAUGCAUUGACAGGUCAGUCAGGGCCAUGACUAUGGACAAGGCCCCUCCAUUAGUAUAAGCUAUAAACAUAAGUGUUCAAGAUCAAAGCAGUAAGCAUUUCAGGCUUAUACUAAUAGAUGGAUCUUGUCCACAGCCGUGUAUAAAGGUCUGAAAAUUCCGAUGGUGGGGAUAAGGCUCUUAAAUAUCGGGAGUUGUGCUUUACAAAUCGGCGACUAUGGCGCCUGAAUCUUUACUUUCUUAUUCAAUAAAGACGUUAAGGAAAGAUUUAUACAAUUGUAUAAUUAAUAUAAUUAAUAUAGUUAUAUAAAUUACUCUUUCUAUUUAUGAGAGAAUUCAGAAAUAUUUAGACCACAAAUAGAACUUACAAGUUGAUUUACAAUUUACGAAUUUACAAUUAUCGGAUAUAAGAUCAACUAAGAUGAAUUUAUAUUUAAAUAUAUAAGUAUUUACUAGCUCGAGGAUAUACGGAACAGAGAUUAGGACGAGAGAAGAUCGAUUUGAAAAAACGGAAAGUGGCGAGGACGAGCAACCGAAUAGGAAAAGCGGAUCAAUGUGAAUGAUAUUAAGUUGACAAACAUGUAAAUGUAUAGAUAGUGUAGAAAUAAAUAAAUAAGUAUAAAUAACUUCUAGAACACGUCUCUCCUUUUAGAUCUUUAGGAUAAUAAUAUUCCCAAUAUCUUAUUUCUACAGUAAUAAGAAAAAAAUUAUAUUGAAAUAAUGUAAAUUAUGGUAAUUCGAAGUUAUAAAAAAGUACUUUUAUUUACUCCGAAAUACGGAAAGAGAUCAGAUUCAAAUAAGUAUUAUCCAAUGUUUUAUGUGUCCGAAAGUAAUUAAGAUCAGUUAAAUUAAAAAAGAAUGAAUUAGGGUCAGAAUAUGUCUAACAUGUAUGAUAUGAUUCUUUUAUUUAAACAAUAUUUAACUUUUUCAGCAAAGUACAAGUGAUUUUUAUAUAUCCUCGCACUAACAAAUUUUUUUCCAAAUAAAAUACAAUGCUUAUGCGUCCUUGUGGUCAUAUUUUAUGUGUUUUAUAUAUAUUGUUUCAAUUAAUCAAUAAUACUGUUACAAAGAUUUUUUCUCAAUAUAGAAAUGGAACAUUCGCAUUUUGAACAUUGUUGAAAAUUUAGGAAAUACCAUCAAGCAUUGGAAGUUACAAAAAUUUGUUAAUAACUAGAAAUGCAUAUUCUCCUACCAUGUUUUUACUCGCUUGGACAUGUCGAAAAGAAAAAUUAUAACACCAUGAAAAUUUUAACAUGAUGUGCAUCGUUAAAUUAAUUUUCCAUAACCUCAUGAAAGUAUAUAAUAAUAUUUACAUAUGUAAAAUGAUGUCAUUAAAUUUUAUGUCAGCUCAAAGAUUUGAUAUAGCAGUUUACCAAUUAAGUAAUAUGCAGAAAUACAUUAAAGAUGAUUUUAUAUUCAUUACCUUCAUAAGGAAUAUGAAAAUCAUUUAAUGAUCCACGUUAGGGUUAUUCGUGGUCUUUUCAUGUCACAAUAAACACAAUAAACAAAAUACUGUAGUUUUAAAUAUACAUAGUUGUAUUUAAGUACAUUACAGACAUAUGUAUGUAUAUAGAAAAAAUUUUUGUUUUGCAAUCCAAUAGUUUUAUAAAUCUUACAAGAAAGCGAAAAACCCCAACGUAAAUAAAAAA
rnacentral:lncRNA from 1 species